rnacentral:rRNA from 1 species
CUACGAAAGGGGCAAGCGUUGUUCGGAAUUACUGGGCGUAAAGCGCGCGUAGGCGGCAUGUCAAGUUGGGGGUGAAAUCCCGGAGCUCAACUCCGGAACUGCCUCCAAAACUGGCAAGCUAGAGGAUGUGAGAGGAUAGUGGAAUUCCGAGUGUAGAGGUGAAAUUCGUAGAUAUUCGGAAGAACACCAGUGGCGAAGGCGACUGUCUGGCACAUUUCUGACGCUGAGGUGCGAAAGCGUGGGGAGCGAACAGGAUUAGAAACCCUAGUAGUCC